GUUUGAAGGAGUGGCCUCGCAACGCUGCAGCUGAUCCUCAUCACAAUCAGCUGAUGCAGCAGGAGGAGGACACGCAGGACAGCGGACACUUUGGAGAUAUUAGGAAACUGAUGGAAACCACAGGCACUAUGAUACGAUGCAAAGCUGCUGGAAGCGCAGAAAGCAGUCUUGGCCACCGACCGCAUAUGACCC